CUCGCCUCGGCCUCCCAAAGUGCUGGGAUUACAGGCGUGAGCCACCACACCCUGCCCCAGUAAAUUCUUCUUAACCUCACGCCACUGACUUGGGGAGCCACCAUGCAUCCCUCCACACACACCUUCAGAGCAGAGUGCAUAAUAGUAUCCACUCCUGGAGUGGCCAUGAAGACCGAUGAAACCAUGCAGGUAGAAAAGAGCCCAGCAUCAGGCCGAUGGUGGGUGCUGCCCAACAGCCAAUGACUCCCAUCCUUAUUCGCGACAUGCCAUCUGCCUCCUGCCCUGGCCUCUUGCAGCCAGUCUCCUGAGACCAGAUUUGCUCUAGAAUUAAUUGGUUGAUGUUCUAAGAGAUGAGUACCAAGGGCCUGCUUAGAAGCCACAGGACCAGGCUCAGACCAGAAACUUGUUCGACAGAGGACUUGGACUCUUCUCUUGAUCUCUCCUUGACAGGCUACAAUGAGUGGGUUCUGGGCCCUGCGAAGAGUGGGCAUUGCCCAGGAGUCACUGGAAAUAGGGGCUAAGCUCAAGACAUCAUGCCCCAAGUGCCAAGCAUCGCCUCCCCCCGUCUUUCACUGAGAUAGACAGAUGAAGCUUGCAUCCCUACAGCUUCUGCAGCCAGGCUUGCUCUGAAUUCAUCGUACAAGGAAAUGGAAUGUGAGCCCCAGGCUAUUUAAAGAGCCAGGGAGACUGGGGGCUCGGCGGGGGCCCAGCCAAGCCAGGGUGCCUUGGAUCGGCACAGGGCUCCUCUGUGCACAUGGUUUGAUUUACAGGAGGGCUGCGAGUGACUCCAACUUCAGACAGAGAACUAUUUGAAGCAGCUGCCAGAUGUUGUGUCUGAAAUGGGUUUUUACAACUUGCUUACUGGUUAGCAGCCUGCCUCCCGCCAGAGUUCAGCUUGCCCCGGCGGGUUCAGGGUCCUGGCACUGGCCCACAGGCCUUUGCUCAGCAGCCUGAUCCCUCCUGUUCAGCCCGAGUCUGUUCUGCCUCGAGUGCACUGGGGGUGGGUGCCUGGUUUCUGAAGCAUCCCACCUUCCUGGGGCGGUGUUGGGACCCCGAUUUCGGUACAUCCUUCAGGCACCCUAAGAAUGCUCUGGAAUGUUCUGUCUGAGCUCACUGCAGGAUCCUCUGGGAGAGGCAGAAAUUUCACAAACAGCUUUCAAUGAGGCACCCCUUGGAGCAGAUAGAUCUUCCACAGCAAGACUGUCCCCAACCCCUUGAGCAUGGCCUGGGAGGUGUGGCACGGACUGGCAGGUCCUGUUCUUCCAUCCCAGUCCCUCCCACUCAUUUCACUUUGGCCAAUGCCAGCCUCUUUAACUGGACCAUGGAAGGUCACAGGGGACCAGGGCUGGGACCCCAGUUCAACUAGGGACUUCUGGAUGGAUCCCAAUCCUCUGGAAAUCCCAGUGAACCAGGGAAGCUCCAGGCAGGCACCAGUGGAACCAACCUGUGGAUGGAGGCCACUGUGUCCAGGCCAGACCCACCCUGUCAGGGCCGGUGGGAUUUCUCCGAGCGAGACUACGGGAGCUCACUUGGAGUUAGAGGGUGUUUCUCAGCCCCUCCCCACUCUGGGGAGACCUGUGGCAAGAGGCACAUGACUCAGUGUUCACUUCCUGAGGCCACUUGGAAUGGACGUCUCAAAAGGAAUUGACUUUUCUGUUUGGAGCUGAGAAAUGGGUCCCCUGAGGAUGCCAGCAGCGAGGGGAUCUUCCCAGCCGACCUCCUCCUGUCGUGUUACUCAUGCAGGCGAGAACUGUUUUGCUCAUUCCCCGUGGGUCACCCUCGGAGUCAGGCUCUGAAGACCCCGCACCUGAUGGAUCAGUUGGCCCCACCCAGAUCGAUAAACUGGCUCAUCUGAUCUUAUGGCCCCCACCCAGGAACUGACUCAGUGCAAGAGGACAGCUUUGACUCCCUGUGAUUUCAUCUCUGGCCAAUCAGCACUCCCGACUCACUGGCUUC